rnacentral:lncRNA from 1 species
CUAGGUAAAAACUAAGAUAUGUCUACCUGCCGGUCUGCUGACAGUCUAACAAAACUUAUUAUUUUGUUGAUUUAAAGCUAUCCUUAGGCGGUCCCGGUGGCUCACUCCUGCAAUACUAGCAAUUUGAAAGGCUGUACCAGGGGGAUCACCUGAGGACAUGGCAGGAAGAUGGCUGGGCUAAACCAUGAAGAAGCCUCUCACCAGGAAUCAAUUUGGCUGGCACCUUGCUCUUGGAUUUCCCACUUUCCAAAUUCAUGAGAAAUAAAUUUCUGUGUCUUAAGCUUCCCAGUUUAAGCUACUUCCUUUUCCGUUUGUUCUUCAGAUCGAGUCAUGUUCUUAUCACCCAGGCUAGAGUGUACUGGCAGGAUUCUCCUACCUCAAGUGAGUCUCCCUCCUCAGCCCAGAGUCUCACUCUGUUGCCCGGGCUGGAGUGCAGUGGCGUGAUCUCAGCUCCCUGCAACCUCCACCUCAUGGGUUCAAGUGAU